rnacentral:rRNA from 1 species
AACCCAGUGCAAUUCGUUGCACUAUCGUUAACUGAAUACAUAGGUUAACGAGGCGAACCGGGGGAACUGAAACAUCUAAGUACCCCGAGGAAAAGAAAUCAACCGAGAUUCCCCCAGUAGCGGCGAGCGAACGGGGAGCAGCCCAGAGUCUGAAUCAGCUUGUGUGUUAGUGGAACGGUCUGGAAAGUCCGACGGUACAGGGUGAUAGUCCCGUACACCAAAAUGCACAGGCUGUGAACUCGAAGAGUAGGGCGGGACACGUGGUAUCCUGUCUGAAUAUGGGGGGACCAUCCUCCAAGGCUAAAUACUCCUGACUGACCGAUAGUGAACCAGUACCGUGAGGGAAAGGCGAAAAGAACCCCGGCGAGGGGAGUGAAAAAGAACCUGAAACCGUGUACGUACAAGC